rnacentral:misc_RNA from 1 species
GGAGAUGCAAUUACACCGGUCAAAUAUAGAUGUAAAAUUUUCUACCAACUGCAGAAGUCGAACAUACCAUCACAAAGAAUUAACUCUGGUAGUACUAAUAUACAUGUAACUGGGGAGCUUCACGCCACCACAACAAAUUGAGAAGUCAAAAACCAGAAGGACCCUUCUAUAUUUGGAAAUGGAAAAGGAAAGCAAUGCUUCGCUCUGGGCAUUACUAUAAACCCUUCUCUGGAAGAUGCAUUAAUAACAAAAUGCUUCAAAGUGUUGCCAUGGCCAGCCCCCCACUUUUAAUGUUAUUUCCAGAAUAGGCCAUAGAAACACUCAUCUGAAGCUCUCGCUCUGCUGCUACCCAAAACAAGGUUGCUUCUCAUCUUCUCUUUGACAAAUGCUUUUUGGCAUCGCCUGCAGUAUGCUUCUUCCGCCUUCCACCAGCUGAAGCAGGCUCUACUAAAGGGCCUGACCAAUUCUGGACAGGUUCUUUUGAAUAUGUGAAUGAGGUCGAACUGAAUGGCACAUCCGGAGGGACAAGGGACGGAUCAAUGUGAUGUGAAGCACCCAAGGGAACGCCAAGUCCUCCGUCCUGGUGUGGUGGGGGAAACUUCUCACUCUUGCUCUUUGCAUUUGCGUGAGUGAUUAGGCGACGCCUGUCGAUAUUAGCUUGAUUUUCUGCAUUGGCAUCUGGAGCAGGGCCAGCACGGGUUCGUUCACGAUGGCGUACUCUCUUAGCACCAUCUCCUGUAGCUUUAUUAGCGGCUCUUAGCCGUCUAGCUUCAUCAUCCCGCCGUUUGGCAUCCAUUUCCUUGGUUGGAG